rnacentral:lncRNA from 1 species
AAAAAAAUAGAGACAGAGAACAUAGGCAUAAAACUACUUUUUUUUUUCACACUCGACCAGAUAAAACAUGUCCGAAGUUUUGUUCGUUAUUCAUAAUCUCAUAAGCAUCUACGUUAUAUGCCGGAGGGUUACUUCAAACACAUGAAGACCAGAGUUGACUUUCUAGACAAAGAAAACUACGUGGGCAAGUUCACUUUGGUUGAGGGAGACGCACUUGGUCACGAGCUUGAAAAGGUAUGUUAUGAGAUGAAAUUUGAGGACACAAAAGGAUGGAGGAUGUGUUCUCAAGAUCUCCAGUGAGUAUCAUUCCAAGGGUGAUGUUAUACUUAAAGAAGAGGAUAUUAAAGCAACCUUGGAACAUACCAUGGGACUCUACAAGUCUUGUGCGGAUUACCUGAUUGCCAAUCCUCAUAUUUGUGUCUAAAUAAUUUCCAAUUAUGUUUCUUAUUUUCUAUAUUUCCUUAAUAAAGAACUUUGUUCUACUCUUCCAUUGAAGUUUGUUCUUAUCCAACUGUCAUCAAAAUUUACGGUACAACAUUAAGAUGCAAUUUUAGCAAAGUUC